UUCGAUUAUUGGUUGGAUCUAUAUAUGAAACUAAAGGAAAACAGUUUGGAGAGAAACCUGUGUUAUUAGAUAGAUCUUUAAGGAGACCAUUCUUUAACUUUAGUUAUCCACUUAUCCAAGUGGUGUAUACAGUUACAGUUAUGUGAAUAUGCGACUCCUCUCUCCAUUUCCAGCUGGAGUAAUAAUUGUGCUAAAAACUGUUUCAUAUCUGGCGUAGUUAUCUGUUUCCAAGAUCUUGCGAUUAGUAUUUUCGCCGCUAUAAAAGAAUGGAUGGUCAAUAUUAAUUGAUCUCUUGGGAGUCUAUCCCAAUUAAUAUGGAGUAGGCCUGCUUCUGGGCACUUUAACUUUAAUAUUUAAAAGAGACAAAAAAAGAUAUAUUGAUUCCCAUAAGGUACUUAUUUUUGGUCAACCCCACCAGAUAUGUAACAUAUUUCCCUCAUAAGAUAGACACCUCCAGCAUAGAGGGGAGUUAGAUGCAGAUAUCUUGGCCAAUCUAGUUGGAACCAGGUACCAUUGAUGCUGAACUUUAAAAAAAGUUUUGUUUAAAUUUAAGCAGUUUAUAUGUUUUCUAAGUAAUUUCAUAGGUGAGCACCAUGUCUUAU